UUGAACAAGAACUAAGGAAGAAGAACAUGAGAUUGAGAUGAGUGGAUUUCAAUAUUUUCAUGAUGAGAAUGGGGUUCCACCAGAAGAGCUCAAUACAAGAUGAGAGAGAGCUCUCAUUGAGACAUAAAAUAAGUACGAGUUCGAGUAGCAAAAGACGAUGUACCCAGAAAAAGUAUUUCAAAAAAACGAGAAAACAAUUGGAUGGGUUAGAUUUAACUUUGAUGUGGUCAGAUCCAUCCCAUGCCACCGGGGUGGAUCUAGUUCGUAUAUUCUAUUUUUCUAGGUCAUUUUCAACUUGAAGGUUGUUUUAUACUUCCAAAAGUAUGUAAAUGAUAGCAAGGAUAAUCUCUUCAACUAACUUUUUUUUUUUUUUUCAGGAGGAUUCAAUAUGCUUAAUAUGUCAACACUGUUAAAAAGAAAGCUAAGAAGUAUUGCUUAAACUCCAGUCUCCACUAAUGGAUGCCACAAGCCCUCGCAUUAUCUUGAUGUAGUGAUUUGUAACAUUCAGACCUAUAACUUAAUGUUACUCCAAUGAAAUAGGUAGCUCUAAAAUCAAG
rnacentral:lncRNA from 1 species